UGCCGCCCCUCCCCUCCCCGGGGCUGCACGGGGACGUGGUGAGCGGCGCGGCAUGGGGCCCUGGCAGGCAGGGAGUGUGGCUGCGGGAGGAAUAAUACAGACCACUUGAUGGAUGACACUGCCAGAGGUCGGCAGGAAGGCCGACCCUAAGUGCAGUGACUCUCCUGGAGCACCCAACUCCCUCUGGGCACUGGCCCAGACCACGUCUGCUUCGCGGUCUUUGAGAAAACAAGAGAGAAACCUGUCAGCUCAGCUGAAAAACAAUAGAAUUCAAACCCCAUAAAAAUGGGCCAUCUUUGAAUGAAGAAAAAGCCCACUCUCACCUGCCAACUCAACAAGCAGGAAAGGCUCCAGAGAGCUGCAGAUUAUGGGAUAAGUGACUCAGGCAUCCCACAACGGAACAGCUGGAGAGAGUGGUAUGAGGAAGGGGCAUUCCCGUUUUCCAAAGACCUGUGUUUUUACUGUGCAGUUUUGUACCACUAGAAGGACAAAUAGUACAUCGUUUGUCUGCAGUUGUGCACUUACCUAGUCUAGACUGACCCUUAGUGGUAAACUGGAAAUAUCAGCACAGUUCAAAUUUCAAAACAGUGCUUUUCCAUAAUCUAAUUAUUUGGAAAGGGGUAGAUACAUAUGCUGUAUGUCACAGUACAUGUAAAUAGUCCCUGUAACUGUCAGAAGUAUAAAUAAUACCAGUGCUAUCAAAAUAAUGAUUACAUGUGAAGAAUGCAAAAUGAAAAUUGUGAUGUCAAGACACACUAUAUUACAAGGAACAAAUAAGAAGCCUGUAUUGGGCACUAACAAAUACCUCAAGCUAACUAUGGAAUAUGUAUUAAUUAGGUCUCCAAAAUACCAUCUUUCUGAAAAGCAGCGUAUGUGUAAUAUUCCAACUUAUUAAUCAAAGCAAUGGGACAAUGUGAAAUCUGCAAAAAAUGAAUGGAUUGCAGAUGAUUGCCUACCUCUUUAAUAAUGACAGAGGAACACACCAGCUUCAAAUGCCAGUGACUCUCAGUCUUCUUUUUUUAAGCAGCCCAUAUUUUCAGUUCUCAAGGCAGUGAGGUAGAUAUGUUGGUUUCUUAUUGCAUUUUUUCCUGCAGCAUUAAUUCAAUUGAUGUUCUUCCCUAAUCAUGCUAAUUAUACUGCCAUAUGUUGCUCUCAUCCUUCUUUUUCUGUCCUAAUGGGACAUAGAUUCCCUCUUUUAAAUAUGUAAUUUAUUUAGUACAUGUAUUGAGGGUUUUAACAUUAUAUGAGUCUUUUAAUUGCUUUUUUAAACACUCAGCAGACUGAAUAUUAAAAAAUUGACAUGAAGGUCAAUUAUAAAUAAUAUUUGAAUUGCAUGUGUGGGGUUUUGUCUUUUUCUGUAAAUCUCUAAUUUGGAAGCAUCAAGUUUAUAGGAAUUAUUCACAUGACAACACACACAGAAUCAUAGAAAUGUAGGGCUGGAAUAGCAUUUGAGAGGUUAUCUAGUCCAUCUCCUAGUACAUAGGCCAUCCCUGACCUGUGUUUGUCAAACCUAUUGUUAAAAACCUUCAGUUACGGUGAUUCCACAACCUACUUUGGUAACUUAUUCCAGUACUUAAAUAUCCUUAUAGUUAGAAAGUUUUCCCUGACAUCACAUUUAAAUCUCCCUUGCUGCAAACUAAGCCAAUUACUUCUGGUCCUACCUACACUGGACAUGGAGAACAACUGAUCCCCAUCCUCUUUAUAAACAGCCCUUAACAUACUGGAGACCAUUAUCAGGUCCCCAUUCAGUCUUCGUUCUCAAGAAGAAAGACAAAGAAAUACAGAAAAAGAAAGACCCACUCGAGACCAAUUCCAUCUGUUUAAUAGCACCCUCCAUUUAACUCCCCAUUUUUCUGCUCUAACAAAAGCUACCUUAUAAAAGCUAUGGUGCUUACUGGUGCUAUAAUGCAGAUGCAUAUUGCCUAAAACAGAUAUUUUCUAGAUCAAUAAAAAUGUACUUGCUGUAAAAGAUAAACACUAAUAUUCAAAUGAGAUAAAGGUAAUCUGAAUAGCUCUAUUUGUAUAGAGCUGUUUAGGUUUCCCAAUUAACAGCCCAAGCCCAUGAAGUGCAGAGUACACCCAUCAAUAGGGUAGUUGAAUGUGACUUGAUGUCAUGCAGUGCCUCUCACCAGCCAUUAGUACCUCACAGGACUGGCCAUACUAGUAUAGAAAAUAACCAAUAAUAUAAUCGAAUAAUAGAGAAAGUCAAUAGGAUGAACACAUCCUUCGUAUCGUAUCACUGGCUGCAAUAAUGUUAGCUCAAGGAUGAAUUUGACCUCUUGUGUUCUUGAAUUUGGCCCAGGAGAUCAAUCCAUUUAUUCUUCAAGUAAUAAAAUAAUUUACAUUUUUAUGGGAUUUGAAAUGAUUGCUCAUGACAU